CCCCUCUUGACCUGGCCUACUUGAACUGUCCUUGUGCGCAACUUGGUGCAUAAUCUAGGGGAACAACAUCACUCUACUACACAUGGGUCACUUACCCGAAACCUCCCCUGUGCGCCGUUUGCUAUCGAGUUGGUGUUCUUACCAAUACCCCGCCCUCGGUUCCUUUUUUUGGGGUCUUGCGUGUCAUGUACUUCAACCUCAUCAGGUCCACAGAUGGAUAUUUCUCUGUUAUGUAGCCGCGAAUGGCCUGCGAUGAGACCAUUCGAGAGUCCAACUCCUUCAGCGCUUCUUUAACCAUCACCAUCGUAGGUGGAUGAAGAGAAGUUUUCCGUGCCACAGCAGUCACUGCCACCAUCUUCUGUGAAGUCAGACUAACAGUAUGUAUGUAGCUGUCUAAAUAAUGACCUUGUUCAUCCCUGAUAUGGCUGGUCGUCUGUUUUUGCUCAUCCUCCUUUUCGAUACCUUCCAGUACAUCAAAGCCAAAGAUCUUCCUCGGCCCAGUCUAACAGUGAUUCCUGCAGUCAUCAAAGAGAGAGACUCAGUUCAGCUGAACUGUCAGACUCCUUCAUCUGUCUCUGAGUGUUACUUCAAAAUGGAAGGGCAAGUGGAAUUCACCCUACCAUCACCCUGUCAACAGACUCUCACAGGAACACUACUGGUGAGGUGGACAGGUCAGAGUUCACCAGCUGAGGUCAAAAUACAAUGUCAGUACAGUGCUACAGGUUCACAGUUUAGAUCCAUGUUCAGUGAGCCUUCAACAGUCACAAUUCAGGACCUUCCUCAGCUGACAGUGAGUUCUACAGUCAUCAGAGAGACAGAAUCAGUUCAGCUGAGUUGUGAGACUCCUCCAUCUCUCCCUGUGUCUCACUGUUACUUCUACAUAGAGGGGAGGAAGAAUCUUCCAGACUCAUUGUGUACGCAGACAAUAACAGGAACUCAGCUGCUGAAGAGGGCAGAUCAAACAUUUCCAGUUGUGGUCAAAGUGAAGUGUUACUAUGCUGUAUGGAAGUCUCACACAUCUCCGUUUAGUAACUCUGUCUCAGUCACUGUUCAGGACCCACCUCCUCCCAGGCUGACAGUCAGUUCUACAGUCAUCAGUGAGAGAGACUCAGUUCAGCUGAGCUGUGACUCUCCUCCAUCUGUCUCUGUGUCUCAGUGUUACUUCUACACAGAGGGGAGAGAUCCUAAACCCUCACCCUGUACGAAGUCACUCACGGGGACUGAGCUGCUCUCGUCGGCAGGUCAAAGUUCAUCUGCUGAGAUCAAACUGAGAUGUUUUUACACAGUAGAAACUCACUUUCC
rnacentral:lncRNA from 1 species